rnacentral:rRNA from 1 species
UUAGUGGCGGACGGGUGAGUAACGCGUGGAAAACCUGCCGUAUACUGGGGGAUAACACUUAGAAAUAGGUGCUAAUACCGCAUAAGCGCACAGCUUCGCAUGAAGCGGUGUGAAAAACUCUGGUGGUGUACGAUGGUUCCGCGUCUGAUUAGCUAGUUGGUGGGGUAAUGGCCUACCAAGGCAACGAUCAGUAGCCGGCCUGAGAGGGUGAACGGCCACAUUGGGACUGAGACACGGCCCAAACUCCUACGGAAGGCAGCAG